rnacentral:sRNA from 1 species
UCAUGUGUUUUUGUUUGUUCAGUAGUGAACCUAUGUUUCCCUCUAUUUCCAAGUUUCAUGAGAAAAAUACUCUAAGUGUUCACUUUACAUCCUACAAACAUGAAAUACAGCUGCCCAAUCAUUUGGCAUCUCCAUCUAGCUCUGUACAGCAAAAGGAUGCUUAAGUUAGUAAUUUAUUCCGUUUUCAAAAAAUUGUAACAUCUUGUGAAAUCUGGGGGAGGAGUGGGAAAUAUGUUCAAGUGAGUCAUGUUUCACUGUGGUAACAAAUGGUACCGUCCUAGAGCUUACAGGUCCCUUUUCAUUAUGGUAUAGAAGCAGGACAAUAAAGACCUUUAGAAAGCUACCCCCCCAAAAAAGGCACAAAAAUACUUGUAAAGUUAGAUUUUCAAGUAAUUAGGGGCAAAACUACUGAUCUGCAUUGAAAUCCUUUGGAGCACAUCAAAGGAAUGGAGUACAGGGAGGUAAGGGCAAGGCUUCUCUAUAAAAUCCAUGAGUUUAUGUUCCUUCUCUCUUCUUCGUUAAUUGUGAAAGGUCACUGGAAGGUUUUGUCACUCACUGUGUCUUCUCCAAGGUUGUUUUCCACAUUGCCUGUUACCAUUUCUUUCUAGCUAACUUGGCACAGUACAACUUCCUCUGGGAGUUUGGCUUGAAUUUUAUUCAUUGAGAAUUUGAGUUGCUUGGAGUUGUAUCAUCAUCCAGUAAGUCCCAUAGCUAUGCUGUGGUGCAAGAACAGGGCAGUUUCAGGAGCCCCUUUAGGUACACAAAUAAUCUAAAGCACUCCCCUAUGUUAUCUGUGUAGAAUUCUGCAAGUGCUGUUAAUCAAAAUCAUUUUCUCUGAGUAAAGUUCAGCCUCAAUGGGGUUAGGAGAAAUGAGGACCUUCAGAUGGGUCUGGGAGUGUAAGAACAUGUAGGCCUAUGAGAAGUCAUGUUCAUAAAGUGGAACAGAUGUUUUAGUUGACACAGAGAUUCCACAAAAAGGAGUAGGUGUUGCCAUUGCAACUAGGGCACAUCAGGGUUGUAGUGGUCCCCAGAGUAGCCCUGAAGGAGAAACCAUCCAGAUUUCCAUCAGCCAAGGAGGGAAAAUGUACCAUAGGUUGGAGCUCUUCAAUGGACUAUGACUCAGUGUGAGAUAUUCCAGGUAAGCAUUUACUUACUUAAUCCAAAUAUCUGUGACACAAUCACAUUAUAGGGAGAAAAAUUGUUCAUUUGGAUUCUGGAUAUGGAGACUUCCUUUGAUCCUGGGGGCAUAGCUUUGGGCAUGAAUUCAGUCAGACUGUGGUAAAGAGAGCUCCUAAAAAAGAAGCUGCACACUUUGGGGAAAGUCUGAAACAGUGAACAAGAAAAAGAGUCUAGUCCACCACCAAUAUAUGAUCCUUUGCUGGGAAACAAGCCUGCUCUACACAGCCUUGAGAACUUGAUAAGUCAGACUGGGCAAUAAGCAACAACCCGGAUUCUAUGUCAUUUUAUGAGAGUUCAGUACAUCACUGACUGAGCUGUGUAUAGGCUAUGGCCACUAUGUACAUAUCUCACUCAGCAUUUGUUUUUAUGACUCCAGAGUAUCCUGGGGAAUCAUUAUAUUAAGGAUUAACUGCGAAAGUAAACACUUGACUGCAAUGUACUAUGCUUAUAUAGUGUGAACACAAAUGUAUUGUGUGUUUGCAAGUUUGUAUUAGUGUGUCUGUGUGUCUGUGCAUGUGUUUGUGUGUGCACACAUGCAUGCAUGCUUCCAUUGACAGUACACUCAUCCGAUGACCAGAAUUAGAGGAAAGAAUGCAGGACACUCUGAAGCAGAAAACUGAUCACCCAGGAAAGUGACUUGGGAGAAACAAUGCAGAAGCAUUCUGACAUCUUUGAGAUCAGGUCUGAAAUUCUCCAGCAGAAACUCAAACAUGGUACAGACCAGGACAAGUUCUCCCUUGGAGAGAAGUGCUACAGGAGGAGUACUAAGUGUGCACAGCAAAUACACCACUAUUGCAUCUCAUCCCUACUAUCCAUAGCAAUAGUGGCCUGCAUUUUCCUCCUUUAGUUUGAUUUCUUUGGACUGAAUAGACUGUACUUUCAUCUCACCUCUCCCCAGAAAGAGUGCACAUUUGGAGGGACUCUGAGAAGAGCUGAUGCACAUCAAUUAAGAGAUGGUGGGCAUCUAGGAAGAGUCUACCCAUCCAAUUUUGUACUUGUCCUGAUGGGUCAUCCAGAAGAGUUUCAAGGAGAUCAAUCCAGAACAUUGGAAAGACAUUAAGACCAAGACUGUAAUGUAUUUUAUACUCGGUAUUGGAUGGCCUUGUCCUUCAUACCGCACUCCAACAGAAGAGACCUCCUUACAUUCCGCUUGAAAAGAUUAUUACCAUCAGUAACUGCUUGUCUACUAUGUUCCAAGGUCAACCACAGGCUAUAAGUCUGUUCUGCAAAACAAGCAACAAAAGAAUGUUUAACACAAUUCCUCUGUUUAGAUUUUGGUUUGAGUUUUGAUUAUUUUGGUUCUUUGGUGUUUCUUGUAUUCAUUUGAAAGUUUGUUAUUUAUUUGUUUUUGUUUUAUUCUUGCAGUUGAUUCACUAUUUUGAUAAGGAUAUAGACUGUAUACAUUGCCUAUGUGCAUCUGGUUACUAUUGAGUAAAUUGGAUGUAUUUUAAAUAAAACAGUGAUCUCAAA